rnacentral:rRNA from 1 species
UACGGAGGGUGCAAGCGUUAUCCGGAUUUACUGGGUUUAAAGGGUGCGUAGGUGGGUUGGGAAGUCAGUGGUGAAAUACUUUCGCUUAACGAAGGAACUGCCAUUGAUACUAUCAGUCUUGAAUGUAGUGGAGGUAGGCGGAAUGCGUCAUGUAGCGGUGAAAUGCUUAGAUAUGACGCAGAACACCAAUUGCGAAGGCAGCUUGCUACACUACUAUUGACACUGAGGCACGAAAGCGUGGGGAUCAAACAGG